rnacentral:lncRNA from 1 species
CUCCCAAGCGUGAAAUAAUCUGAGCAGCCCCUCCCCAUGUGGUACCGAUGUCAAUGACCCUUGCAUAUACAACCAAUAAACUAUCCAUGCAGCCCUUAUGACAACAAACCGUGGUCUCCGUCCAUAAUGCAAACACCUUGUAUUGGCAGUACACUUGGUUAAAGGGAUAAUUCAAAUCCUUUCCUAUACCAGUGAGCCACGACCAUGACAAAAACAAGAUCAGAUGCACCCAUUUACAUGCUUCUCAAAAUACUUUCCUUUGAAAAUACAAUCAUUUCUAUAAGGCCACAAACACCAAAUACCAGGCACACCAUACAAUUGUCCACCUUUCUAUAAAAUGCUUAAGAUUGCAAGUCUCAGUGUCAUAAAAAAUCCAUUAGUGCUGGCUGCAUGGGUGAGAUGAGUGUGGUUCCUUUGAGAAUGUGAACAUAUUGCUUGAGUGACAUAAUUUGAAAUUUGAAAGCCGUUGAGCUAUCCAAACCAGGGGAUAUUUGAUAGUAACAGAGCAACACCAGAAGAAGAAAUAGAGAAAGCAGCAGACAUGAACACAGGGGUACAAACAGCAAAACCAAAAAGGAAGGUUACCAGGCCCGCGUAUCUCAGAGAUUAUGCUUGAGGAAGGAAUUACAAAUGAUGAGGAGCUGAGCUGGCAGCACAGGAUUUGCUAGAUCACAAUGUCUUUUGUUAGGAAGCAUCGAGAAUCAAAUUCCGUUAUGCAGAUAUUCCUGCAAAUCUGGAUAAUUACAUGUAGCAAUUGGCAUUAUAAAUAUAUGUAAAUAACUAGCAAAUGAAUAAGAACAAUUACGCUCCUUCUUCCUCAUUCUCGUGAUUCUUUCUCUG